rnacentral:sRNA from 1 species
CUACAGAUGGAUUUAUUGAUAAGGGCAACUCUAGGGUUCAUCAAAUGGCUAAUAGGCGAAAGGUAGAUACCCAUGACAAUAAAUUCACAAACCGGGUCAAUCCACUCUCGUGACAGAGACCCCCACAACUCUACCACUUCCUAAUCUCAACUCUCGUUGAUGAAACAUAGCAGAGCAGGGUUUAAGAAACAAUCUAUCAAAGCCAAUAGGCAGACAAGCCAAUCCCUUGGUCGAGUCUACAUAUCUCUGGAAUUCGUAGGUCAGACAUCCAUUUGAACGUCUUUUGGACGCUGGACGUCUAUGAUCGAAUCUCCACAUUAGCCAGCAAAAACC